rnacentral:rRNA from 1 species
CGAAAGCUUCCUUCGGGGAACGAGUAAAGUGGCGCACGGGUGAGUAACACGUUGGUAAUCUACCUUUGGAUGGGGAAUAACAACCGGAAACGGUCGCUAAUACCGCAUAAUGCAGCGGCACCUAAUGGUGACAGUUGUUAAAGCGGGGGAUCGGAAGACCUCGCGUCUAAAGAGGAGCCUGCGGCGGAUUAGCUAGUUGGUAAGGUAACGGCUUACCAAGGCGAUGAUCCGUAGCCGGCCUGAGAGGGCGGUCGGCCACACUGACACUGACAUACGGGUCAGACUCCUACGGGAGGCAGCAGUCGGGAAUUUUGGGCAAUGGGCGAAAGCCUGACCCAGCAACGCCGCGUGAAGGAUGAAAUCCUUCGGGAUGUAAACUUCGCAAGAACGGGAAGAAUAAGUAGGGGUUAAUAUCUCUUACGAUGACGGUACUGUUUGUAAGCUCCGGCUAACUCCGUGCCAGCAGCCGCGGUGAUACGUAGGGUGCAAGCGUUAAUCGGAAUUACUGGGCGUAAAGGGUUUGUAGGCGGCUUUGCAAGUCGGGUGUGAAAUCCCUCAGCUCAACUGAGGAAAGUGCGCCCGAAACUGCAGAGCUUGAGUACCGGAGAGGAUGGUGGAAUUCCCCAAGUAGAGGUGAAAUUCGUAGAUAUGGGGAGGAACACCGGUGGCGAAGGCG